rnacentral:misc_RNA from 1 species
GAUGAAGAACGCAGUGAAAUGCGAUAAGUAAUGUGAAUUGCAGAAUUCAGUGAAUCAUCGAAUCUUUGAACGCACCUUGCGCCUUUUGGUAUUCCGAAAGGCACACCUGUUUGAGCGUCAUGAAUACCUCAAUCUCCAUCUUUUCUUCGGAUUGAUGGGUGACGUGGAUGUUGAGCCCUGCUGGUAUGCUAUAUCAGCUGGCUUUAAACUUAUUAGCCGGCUCUGUACUGGAUCGGUUUGACUCGACGUGAUAAUAUUAUCGUUGAGGAUGCAUGUCUCAUGCAGCCGGAAAGUAUCAAAGCAGCUUCUAGCUUGCCUUUAGUGCACUUUUACAUUUUAGACCUCAGAUCAGGUGGGACUACCCGCUGAACUUAAGCAUAUCAAUAAGCGGAGGA